CAGCCGCCACGGUAACACGUAGGGUGCAAGCGUUAUCCGGAAUUAUUGGGCGUAAAGAGCUCGUAGGCGGUUUGUCGCGUCUGCUGUGAAAACUGGAGGCUCAACCUCCAGCCUGCAGUGGGUACGGGCAGACUAGAGUGCGGUAGGGGAGAUUGGAAUUCCUGGUGUAGCGGUGGAAUGCGCAGAUAUCAGGAGGAACACCGAUGGCGAAGGCAGAUCUCUGGGCCGUAACUGACGCUGAGGAGCGAAAGCAUGGGGAGCGAACAGGAUUAGAUACCCCAGUAGUCCCUGUCUCUUAUAC
rnacentral:rRNA from 1 species